GGGAAGGUACACGUUUUUCGUUUCCCUCCCCAUGCUGUUGAGUUUUUGCUAAUGAUGAUAAUGCUAGUAUGCUACCUAAUGGUUAUGUAACGAGACGCUGCGUCAAAAAGUCUCUAUUCAGUCAAGAUUUCUGUUCAUUUUGUUAAACAUGCUAGGUUUGAGUGUUAAUCUUUUACUGCGUUUGGCCAAAAAGAAUAGACUUCUUUGAAGGCAAUCAAUCAUGCAUUGCAGUUGAAUGCAUAAGUAUACUAUUGUUAUUUGAGUAGGCAUUCCAGUAAUUAUUCAAUUUUUGUCCAAUAAGUUAUUGGAUUUCAACAAGGUAAUAAAUAACCUGCCUUUUCUGCAGCUUUGGCCAACUCAACAGUAUGAAUUAACAAUCCACAAAAGACUUGCAUUGAAAUGGGAGUGUCCAGCUUUAAAACAAGUAGUUGAUUCGAUCCUGUUAGCUGACGGUAAUUCAGAUCGCAUGAUUCAACAUCAUCAUCAACAACCAAAUCACCAAUAUUGAUUUAGUGCUGUGAAUUUGGUUCACGCUAGAAUAAAAUCACCCUCAUCUCUACAUAUUUCUGGAAGAGCACCUCAUUCGACCCCAUCGACGUCUACCUGAACUGUGUCAAAAUUCUUUUGUGUUCACAGUAAAGUACUCAGCAGAUCCGCCUGUCGUUUAUAUCCUGGAUUUUGGUAUUA
rnacentral:lncRNA from 1 species